rnacentral:rRNA from 1 species
UACGAAGGGGGCUAGCGUUGCUCGGAAUCACUGGGCGUAAAGCGCACGUAGGCGGCUUUUUAAGUCAGGGGUGAAAUCCUGGAGCUCAACUCCAGAACUGCCUUUGAUACUGAGAAGCUUGAGUCCGGGAGAGGUGAGUGGAACUGCGAGUGUAGAGGUGAAAUUCGUAGAUAUUCGCAAGAACACCAGUGGCGAAGGCGGAUCUCUGGACAGUUCCUGACGCUGAGGCGCGAAGGCCAGGGGAGCAAACGGG